CGAGUUUUUGUAGCAAUACAAGGCAGACGGCUCAGUAACGCGUAGUCAACCUACCCUAUGGACGGGAAUAACCUCGGGAAACUGAGUAUAAUGCCCGAUAGAACAUUAUGCCUGGAAGGGUUUAUGUUCCAAAUGAUUUAUCGCCGUAGGAUGGGACUGCGGCCUAUCAGUUUGUUGGUGAGGUAAUGGCCCACCAAGACUAUUACAGGUACGGGCUCUGAGAGGAGUAGCCCGGAGAUGGGUACUGAGACACGGACCCAGGCCCUAUGGGGCGCAGCAGGCGAGAAAACUUUGCAAUGUGCGAAAGCACGACAAGGUUAAUCCGAGUGGUUUCUGCUAAAGGAACCUUUUGUCAGUCGUAAAACCACUAACGAAUAAGGGGUGGGCAAGUUCUGGUGUCAGCCGCCGCGGUAAAACCAGCACCUCAAGUGGUCAGGAUGAUUAUUGGGCCUAAAGCAUCCGUAGCCUGCUCUGUAAGUUUUCGGUUAAAUCUGUAUGCUCAACAUACAGGCUGCCGGGAAUACUGCAGAGCUAGGGAGUGGGAGAGGUAGACGGUACUCGGGAGGAAGUGGUAAAAUGCUUUGAUCUCUCGAUGACCACCUGUGGCGAAGGCGGUCUACCAGAACACGUCCGACGGUGAGGGAUGAAAGCUGGGGGAGCAAACCGGAUUAGAUACCCGGGUAGUCCCAGCUGUAAACUAUGCAAACUCAGUGAUGCAUUGGCUUGUGGCCAAUGCAGUGUUGCAGGGAAGCCGUUAAGUUUGCCGCCUGGGAAGUACGUACGCAAGUAUGAAACUUAAAGGAAUUGGCGGGGGAGCACCACAAGGGGUGAAGCCUGCGGUUCAAUUGGAGUCAACGCCGGG
rnacentral:rRNA from 1 species